UAGGGAAUCUUCGGCAAUGGACGGAAGUCUGACCGAGCAACGCCGCGUGAGUGAAGAAGGUUUUCGGAUCGUAAAGCUCUGUUGUUAGAGAAGAACGUUGGUAGGAGUGGAAAAUCUACCAAGCGACGGUAACUAACCAGAAAGGGACGGCUAACUACGUGCCAGCAGCCGCGGUAAUACGUAGGUCCCGAGCGUUGUCCGGAUUUAUUGGGCGUAAAGCGAGCGCAGGCGGUUCUUUAAGUCUGAAGUUAAAGGCAGUGGCUUAACCAUUGUACGCGCUGGAAAAUGGAGGACUGGAGUGCAGAAGAGGAGAGUGGAAUUCCAUGGGUGGAGGUGAAAUACGUAGAUAUAUGGAGGAACACCGGUGGCGAAAGCGGCGCUCUCGGCUGUAACUGACGCGGAGGCUCGAAAGCGUGGGGAGCGAACAGG
rnacentral:rRNA from 1 species